AUUGAACGCUGGCGGCAUGCCUUACACAUGCAAGUCGAACGGUAACAGGUCUUCGGAUGCUGACGAGUGGCGAACGGGUGAGUAAUGCAUCGGAACGUGCCCAGUAGUGGGGGAUAGCCCGGCGAAAGCCGGAUUAAUACCGCAUACGACCUGAAGGUGAAAGGGGGGGAUCGCAAGACCUCUCGCUAUUGGAGCGGCCGAUGUCAGAUUAGCUAGUUGGUGGGGUAAAGGCCUACCAAGGCAACGAUCUGUAGUUGGUCUGAGAGGACGACCAGCGACAAUGGGACUGAGACCCGGCCCAGAAGCCUACGGGAGGCAGCAGUGGGGAAUUUUGGACAAUGGGCGCAAGCCUGAUGCAGCAAUGCCGCGUGCAGGAAGAAGGCCUUCGGGUUGUAAACUGCUUUUGUCAGGGAAGAAAUCUUCUGGGUUAAUACCUCGGGAGGAUGACGGUACCUGAAGAAUAAGCACCGGCUAACUACGUGCCAGCCGCCGCAGUAAAAC
rnacentral:rRNA from 1 species